rnacentral:lncRNA from 1 species
GAGCUGGGCUGCAUCCUCUGCCUCCGAGCUUUGCAUCCUCGGUGGCUCUGGUGACAGCAGGGACAUCAUCCCGAUGGAUCCCUGUAGGAGCGUCAGGGCUAGCACGGUCUGGACGGACAGAGAUGAGAGAUCUCUGCAGCCAGCUCCCAAAAGCAGCGGAGAUGUCAAAGCUCUGCGCUGAUGGAUCCGACAGCGCUGCCCCUCCGGGGGAGCACCGGCAGCGUUCACGGCUCAUUCCCCAGCCAGCCGGGGGCUCUGCCGGCCAUGGAGGCACCGAACCGACGGCUCUGCCCAGCCCCGGGCUGGAGAGGAGCAUCCACCGUGCUGGGGCCGUGCCUGAGCACAGCGAGAUCCCGGAGAACAGCAGCGUGAGCAUCCCUGCGCUGCAAACCCGGCACGGCUCGGCUGGGAGCGGCUCUGGGAAUGAAUAGCUCCCGCCACAGACAUCCCUGCAGGCCCAGCUCUGCCCCCCCGAGCGUGAUUUAACAGCUCAGUGAGGGAAAUGAGAGACUCUUCAGGAGAGAAAGCUUACUUUUAAAUGGAUGUCAGAGUUUGAAGAGCCGCUGCUUCACACUGGGAAAGGGGUCCCUGUGCAGUGUUUGAAGGAUGCUGGGGCUGUCCCUGCUCCCCACAGACCUCUGAGAGCCCUGGCAGUGCCUGAGCCCAUCUGCUGAGCCCUCCUGAGCAGGGGCAGGACGUGGGCACAGAGGGGUCUCCCACUUGUCCCACUGUUCCAUUCCAUGUAAACCACCCGGAGAAAAGAGGCGCCAGCAGCAGAGAAAGAGCUGAUUGUGGUGGUGUUUACAGGGGUCUCAGGAUGAGGGAAGAGAUGCGGAUCUGACUCUAUGUUUUAGAAGGCUGAUUUAUUAUUUUAUUACAUAUAUUAUAUUAAAAUGAUAUAUUAAAAAUAUACUAAAAGAAUAGAAGAAAGGAUUUCAUCAGAAGGCUAGCAAAGAAUAGAAAAAGAAUAAUAACAAAAGCUCCUGACUUUCAGAAAGUCUAAGCCAGCUCACUGUGAUUGGCCAUUAAUUAUAAACAACCACAUGAUACCAAUCACAGAUCUACUUGUUGCAUUCUACAGCAGCAAAUAAUUAUUGUUUACAUUUUCUUCUUUAACCUUGUCAGCUUCUCAAGAGGAAAAAAUCUUAAAGAAAAGAUUUUUCAUAAAAUAUGUCUGUAACAAAACAAUUCCAUGACUGUGCGAUUCCAUCCUUCGACAGCCAAAGCCGCCAGGGCCAGACACAAACAAAACAAAACAAAAAAUGAAAAAACACAAAUGUGCUUUUAACUGGAGGUUUCUGACGGGUCCCCGUGUGUGUGCCUGGGGGAUUAACAGUGUCCAGAGGCUUCCCUGUGCCGGGCAGCUGCGUCACGAUGUCACCGUCGUCACAGCAACCCGCUCACCACGGCCCUGGAGCCGCAGAUCCGGCC